AACGGGGCGUAGGACAGGCUGGGCAACAUUCCGUUGAAAUCGGGUGCCUUCUGCUCAUCCCUCAGGAGGCCCCAGAUGGCCGCGUGGACAGCAGUAACGCAGAGGAGGACAGCAACGAUGGCGCGCAUCAAGGANAAACCAUACGGGGCCAAACGUGGCAGGAUCGCGAACCUGUCCCCUCGGUUCGUCAGCGUUAAUGGCAGCUUAUCUAUGCUGCGCGGCUUAACAACUCAUAUGGCGACAUGGCCUUUUGAGGGCGUAGCCGAAACCGAA
rnacentral:misc_RNA from 1 species